GGGAGAGUCCCAGAGACAGAGACAUAAAGCCACAGUGGGGAGAGACGGAAAUGAGGUAGGCAAGACAGAAAGAAUGAGAGGGAGGAAGAGGGAAGGGACAGAAGGCAGGAGAGCCUAGAUUCUUCCUCCUAGUCUAAAAGGACCCUCACCUUCGGGGCUGGGCCUGUGGCCAAGUGGUUAAGGUUCCACACUUUCUGCUUGGGAGGCCUGGGUUCACAGGUUCAGAUCCCAGAUGCGGCCCUACUCCACUCAUCAGCCAUGCUGUGGAGGCAUCCCACAUACAAAGUAGAGGAAGAUGGGCACAGAUGUUAGUUCAGGGCUAAUAUUCCUCAAAUGAAAAGAUAAAAAAAAUAAAAGGACCCUAACCUUCCUGCAGGGAGGGUCUCUCCUCCACGAGGUUGGUGGGGGGUGUCUGAAGAAGACUCUCUCAGCCUCGAGUUCUCUGGCAGACAGUGAAAUUGGUGGUUCUCAAAGUGUGUUCCCUGGACCAGCAGCUCAGCAUGACUUGGGAGCUUGUCAGAAGUGCAAAUUCUCCUGCCUCACCCCAGACCUCCUGAAUCAAAGACUGCGGGGUAGGGCCCAGCAUCUGUGUUUUAACAAGCCCUCCAGGUGUUUCUGCUGCACGCUCGAGUUUGAGAACCACACCCUGAAGUUGCAGUGCUUGGCCUCCAGUGCUGUGAACUGCUCUCAGUCCCCGCCACGGGGCUGCUGUCUUCCAAGAGGAGUGACGUGGGUGGUCUUGAGAGCUGGCACCAUCUUCAGAGUCACUCAAAUGAUACCUCUGUAGCCUUCAAUUACCUGUAGGAAUUGGGGGAACAGGAGGAAGUGUCAAGGAACAGCCCAGAGGAAGAAAAAAGACAACCUGGAGAAAAGGAUGCUUAGAAGGGCAAGGCUGCAGCUGGUGCGUGCAGCUCUUAAGUAGCAGGCUCUCAGCUCCUGCCAUGCAGGACGAUGAUGGAAAGGGGGCACUAAUGGGAAAGCAGUCUGACCCCAGCUUCAGGUGAAUUUGAUGGAGGGUCAAUUUGGGGAUAAUUGUGGUGCGCUGUCUGGAUUCUGCUGGGAGAGGGCAGAUGGGGACAGGAGCAGGGAUGGGUAGAGGGUAGAAGGGAGAGGAGUGGGGGGCAGGGAGGGAGAGAGAUGCUGGGGAACAGGGGGCCCAGGCAGAGGCCCCUGCUCCAGGCCUGGAGUUUCCAGAAGACCAUCAUCAUUGUCCAGCCAUCCACAUUGUUCUUCUGGCUUCUGAGGCUGGAGACCAGGGGUGAGGAGCUUGGUGUGGCCCUCAAGGAGAGGCCUGUUCUCAUUUCAGCGGGUGUGGGUAUUAAGUUUGGUCCAUGUGCUGGCAGUGGGCAGGAUGGUCAGUGACCUCAAACUCAAAGUCUUCAGGCUCCGGGCAGAUAACAUAAGAGAGAAGCACAGCCUGGGAGGAAAUGCCAGGGCAGACACUGUCUCCUGGGGAUUGUGUGAACUGGAAAUACAGGCCCUGUCUAGACCGUUCAGCAGCCACCAGACUCCAGCCUGUUAGCACCCAGAAACGUCACUCCCCGCCACCAGGCUGAUCAAAUCCAGAUGGAGGUAUACAGCAGCAGGUCCUGCAAGAGAAGUUACAAGAAGCUCACAUACUGCCUGCGUGCCAGGGGCAGCUCUGUCUGGGCUGGCCGUGGGGAACGGGGCUUCGAAGGGUCCCAGACUCCAUUCUGCAGCGAUGCGGGGCAGCAAAGCAUUUUACAGUGAGGACCACCAUUGUCUGAUCCCUCUAAGAAUGGGUCUUGAAUUUCUGAUGCCAGUUUCUCCCUCAAGGGCCAGGGUAAUGCUGGGCAUCCUGCGUGCAUUCUUUCCAUAAGCCCCCUGCCUUCAGGAAUAUAAAAUGUUUAUCUUUUCUGCUUGACACAGCACAGCUGAGAACCAAAAAGUGAAAUAACCUGUGCUGAGUCAUCAGCCGGGAGGCGGGGGAUUGGAGGCAGGAAAAAUAAAUGUAGCAUCUCCCCCUGGGGGCUCCCGUCAAAGACUGUCGAAGGGAGGGUCCGACAGGUAGGGAGGAGAGGGGGGAGCUUGAGGAGCAGGACUCCCCGUGGUCUGUACUGGUCCAGGAACCCCUUUGGCUGUGGCCUUGAGCAGCAGCUGCAGCUCCUCUCACCUUUCCCUCCUCCAGAUGUCCUCAAACAUCCUAAUAUUUAUUUCUACUUGGGAACAGCAGCAAAUCAACAAAGGCAUGUCAAGGACGCCCUCACCUUCCUCUAUGAGGCUCCGAGCCCUAUUUCUGAUUUUCUAAUUGGAGCGAGUGAAUUCAACUCUGGGGCUGCUUUGAACUCUCGUCUCUGCCAAUUAACCCUCCCGGGGAAGGCUGAAGCGCCUCUUAGAAGUGGCAGAAUGCGAGAGAAGCAAUCACCUAGCUGUGUGAACUUGGGAAGGAAUCUGGAGAUGUGACUGCUUCACGAACAGACCUUCAACCAAUUCUCCUAAUUUUUGCACCCUUCCCCGUCACCUCCACUUCCAGAAGUAACUGGUGCUGGCAGUUUUCGAGACUUCUGGGGAUUCUGGCUCACAAAUCGGGGUGGUUUUCCACAUUCUGCACUGUUGGCUUAGGAUUUAAUUUUUUCUCCAUUUUCUUGGGUCUGCUAAGUAAAUUAUCCCUUAUCUAGCUGCUUUUCACAUUUCAAAUUUUGCUGCUGUUUUCUACCCUCCCAUUUUCCCCAUUCAUGUGAGUCUGUGCCUUAAAAAAAGUCUCUUUACUAGCAUUUUAAUGGGAUUUCCAUAGAGAAUGAAAUCAAGGGUUUGCAUCUUUACACAAAACUCCCUGCUGUUCAAAUUCCCCUUCUUUUUCCCAUCCAUUUAUUCUUCCACCUAGAAAUCACGGCAGUGAAAACAAAGAAAUGCAUAACCUUAGUCGUAAGCUGUAAAGCAUUACAUUUAGUGGGAGAAUCAAAAAAGGGGCGAGGAGGUGUGAGGAAGGACGUGAAUUAUGUGUAUGUAUUAGGAAAGUGUAUCGAGCAUGAACACAGCUUAAUCUCGAUACUUUUGGAAUACACAUUUUAGGAAACAGGGCUGAACAAUGUCUUGGUUUAUGAGAUUACACUGAAAAUACAGCAAUUCAUCCUCGAGGUAUACACUAGGACUUUCUUUCAGAAUUUCCAGAGAAAGAUGAGAUUUUAAUUUUGAUCCCAAGGGGGCACGAGUUUUAAAAAAGAGGCGGGGGCAGGAUUGGCCUAAGCUCCAUGCGAAGGAAGAUGCCCUCAAUGACACGCUGAACUCUGGCUCUCCAGGCUGGAGACCUUUUAGGAUAGGUCACCAGGCAAGAAGUGCUGAUGAGCUCACUCCACUCAGCGCAGGCCUCAGCCAGGUGUCUUGCAGGUAUGCUUGUCUUUCUUUGCAGGCCUUCCCUAAAUUUGUCAUUAAUAAUAGACUCCUUCCUUUUUUAUAAUGUCGAUUAAAAUCAUGUCCUCUAAAACAAUGGUUCUUAACUCUGUGCAGCAGAAUUACUGGUGGAUCUUUCAAAAAGACUCAUAUGAGCCCUACUUUCUAUGGGCUUGGGAACCACUGCUGGAAAGCAGCUUCAUGGAGGUGGUUCAGAGGAUCUGGGAACUUCUGGAAAUUAUAGGCAACGUUGAAUCUGCCCUUUUUUUUUUUUAAAGGACCAUAGCUUUCAUCAUAUUCUUAUAAGGAAACUUCAUAGCACCUAUCAAAUACCCUACAUUAUAUGUU
ensembl:lncRNA